UACGGGGGGGGCAAGCGUUGUUCGGAAUUACUGGGCGUAAAGGGCUCGUAGGCGGCCAACUAAGUCGGAUGUGAAAUCCCCAAGCUUAACUUGGGAACUGCAUCCGAUACUGGAUGGCUUGAAUCCGGGAGAGGGAUGCAGAAUUCCAGGUGUAGCGGUGAAAUGCGUAGAUAUCUGGAGGAAUACCGGUGGCGAAGGCGGCAUCCUGGACCGGCAUUGACGCUGAGACACGAAAGCCAGGGGAGCGAACGGG
rnacentral:rRNA from 1 species